ACCUGCAGUGCCGGCGCUGUCAUCUGUGCCCUAGCGUCUCCGCCGACGCCAAGCAGUGCUGUUAUCUCUCCGGGUUGUGGACAGAGGCAAAGCAAUCCGAGACUAGCCUCUUGGUGAUCCCAAUCUGCUGCCCAACACCAUUGUCUUUCCCUCUUCAUUCCUCCGGCAGCCGGUUUCACUACCACCAGCAGUAGAUUUUGUAUUGUACUACCAUCACUGAAGAAGAGGAAGUGGAAACAGGGAGGAAGCAAUUGUAAAACCUCUGUGGCCGGAUUGUACCCUUGACCACCUACUUGAGUUUGGGACUUUGACGCGAGACGAGUAUCUCGGAGUCAGAUCGGACCUUUCUAUUUUCGG